GACGAACGCUGGCGGCGUGCUUAACACAUGCAAGUCGAGCGGAAAGGCUCCUUCGGGGGUACUCGAGCGGCGAACGGGUGAGUAACACGUGAGUAAUCUGCCCUUCACUUUGGGAUAGCCCUCCGAAAGGGGGAUUAAUACCGGAUAUGACCACAUGUCGCAUGGUGUGUGGUGGAAAGUUUUUCGGUGGGGGAUGUGCUCGCGGCCUAUCAGCUUGUUGGUGGGGUAAUGGCCUACCAAGGCUUCGACGGGUAGCCGGCCUGAGAGGGUGACCGGUCACACUGGGACUGAGACACAGCCCAGACUCCUUCGGGAGGCAGCAGUGGGGAAUAUUGGACAAUGGGCGGAAGCCUGAUCCAGCAACGCCGCGUGAGGGAUGACGGCCUUCGGGUUGUAAACCUCUUUCAGCACCGACGAAGCUUUCGGGUGACGGUAGGUGCAGAAGAAGGACCGGCCAACUACGUGCCAGCAGCCGCAGUAAAAC
rnacentral:rRNA from 1 species